AGAGAGAGAGAGAGAGAAAAGUAAAAAAAUUAUCAUGGGUAACAGAAAUCCUCCACACUUGCACGAAAACUAAGACUAUCUAUUGAUAAAAUUCUCUAUCAGUAAAAUAAGAUCAGUAAAUACAAGACUAAAACAAUAAAGCAACUAAAUACAUCAAUGAAAUGAACCAAGGGACAUUAAAACAACAUAUUCCAUAAUGUGAAAGCAAUGCAAUCAUAACAAAUUAAAUUGUGACAAUCCUUUAAGCUGAAAAAAUCAAUUGAGAGAUUAUCCUAGCAGCAAAGAAUAUAUGUCCUUGUUUCCCAAAAUAUGCAUGGCAAAUUAAGAGUAACAGUGGAAGCAAUAAAGAAGCAUGGUUUUUUUUUCCUCCCCGCCUUGACGCAAGCAGGUGAUGUAUCAAUUAUGGCACUAUUAAUCAGAGUGGUCAUAAUAGACUUGGAAACAAGAAAAGAUUCAAUUACAAAUACAGCAUUUGAUAUGGCAGUGGAAGGAAAGAUUUGAGUGAGGAGUACAGAGGAGAUUGUAGCAUGUAGGGGGCAGAAUUUUGGUGAAUUGAAUCGAGUAUGCUGUUCAGGUUUUGUUGAGGCUUUAUGAGGAAGUAGCUAACAUUAUGAAAGAGGAUAAGUGACUAAAAGAUUACAUAGCACAAAAGUUGGUGGUAUAUAAUUAUUGCAACAAUUUCAGACUUGCAAUAAACUUUCAAUGCCAGAUGUUUGGAAUGAAACCAAAAAUUCUUGAACAUGGAAAAUAAUUCUCACCUUCCCAUGGCGCCAUAUCUUUUGAGAGGUUUUGACAUGCCUCGAUUGAAUCUGCACGUUGAGGACCAAGUGCCACAUCCAUGAUGUCUUUUGCAACAGCAAAAAUCUGUGCAGCUGACAGUGGUCUAUUCAGUUACAAAUAUGCUGCCCCCAUAUUGGUAAAGAUAUAACCAACUCCAAAAUGCUAAGAACCAAAGCUCUCUUUCAACCUUUCAGCAGCAUUCUCCAAGUAAGGCAUUGCCUGAGCCACCUUACCUGUCAGCAGAAGCGCAGAAACACUUCCUUCUGAGUGCUUUUCUUGUGGAAGCUUCUCAAGCAAAGAAAGUGUUCUCUUUUAACAAUGAAAUUGCCGUUUCAAAUUCAUUCAUAGUUUCAUACUGCAUUGCUAUCUCUGAGUAUGCCUCAGCAACUUCAACUGGAGAAACUGCCUCUUUCUUGUCAAGGAUUCAACAAGCAAUCUCCAGACACCUCUCCAAGUCAGCAAACUUCUCUUAAUUACGCAGAGCUUUUGACAUAGAAAUAAACAGCAAUGCUUGAGUCUAACUGUGUUUUUCUGUCCGCUGAGCAACACCCUUCAGAGUAUUAAUUGCCUCAUCGUACCUGCCCAAUGCUAUCACACAUUCGAAGCAUCAAUUUCUGCAUGAAGCAAAUUUGAACCAAAACCCCAAUUCUUCAAGACCUUCUGUGACAACUAAUUCUGUUCCAAUGCCUUCUGAUGCUCCUCCAACCCAGCGUAAAUGACCCAAGGAAGCCUCCUAUCACGUGCAACCUCCACAGAAUUAUUCCGCAGACCAUCCUAUGUAUAUCCAAGGCCUUCAAACCAAAUGGCAAUGCCUCCUUGAAAUUCAAAACUGCAACAUAGGCCUCUGCCAGUUCCCUAUUUGCCACACCCAAUUCCUUGCUAUCUUUGUCCAAAGUCAUUUAUUUGAUCUCCAAGCACUUCCUAAGAUUCUCUAAAGCCUCCUCGCUCCACCCCAUUGCUGUCUUCACAUUCGCCAACUCUAGCUACACAUGCAGCACUGGCUUGAUAGCCUCUAUCCUACCUAAUGUCCUAUUUGCCCUAUUUAAAUACCCUACGCUAUCAUUAAACCUUUUUAAACUAAAAUUAGCAGAUCCCAUUAAUUGCAAAGCCAUGACAACUAGUAAAGAAGGUUUAUUGUCAUCUUUAUCAAGAACUUUCAAAACUCUACUAGCAAAAAAUAAAGAAUUGUCAGGGUCCUCACCUUCUUGGUCCAGUUUUAAACCAAUUUCAAUGAAGCCAACCCAAGUUCUCUCUUAUCAAAAGAAGCCUCCAUCUCUUUAAAAGCUUGAAGCAUGCAGACUCAAAAGCCCCUUCAAGUUAAUAUUUUCCUUGACUUUUCUCGGCCUAGAGGAGAUUUGAGCAUUUGUUUCAACAAGGGUGUCAAUCUUGGAGUUGGGAUUAGGCCAUUGGUUGAAGUGCAAGGUUUGUGACGAUUGCUAGGUGAGUGAAGCGAAGGCCGAAGAGUAAGAAGAAGGUGCGGCGUUAGAAAUGUAAUUUCCGGAAAGGAAAGGAGUCGGUGCUUUGUUCUUUUGGGGAGUAAGUUGAGAGAGAAGUGAAAUUGAAGCUAUUUUCAUGGUGAUAUUUGACGGGUUACUUAUGUCAUCUAUGGAUAUACUCGUAAAAGUAGCUCAGAGCCAAACCCUUCCAAAACCCUAAAUCUUUGGGUAAUUUUUACCUCCCCAAACUUUUGUUGCUUUCAUUUUCGUACUCAAACUCCAAUUCGUAUUUCAAAAAGAUCCUCCUCACUUCUUCAAAGUCUGCGUCUUUUUCAGCAUAAGGAAAUCAGUCAAAAACCAACACGGAAACAGGCUCUCAUUGUAGACCACCCAUAUUAGAUCUCUAGCUUUGAACUGCUCGUGAUCCUCCUCCACUGCCUAGCACUUGACGAGCCAAAUGUGCCCAGUGAGCAAAGACAAACAGGCGCGAAUACUCCCAUCCCUCCUCCACACACAAAUGGUCUUAUCCGUUGAUCUGCUGAACGACAAAUCCCUUACAACUGAGCUGAGGAAUAGAACCGCAAGUUUCAUUCGUCUUUCCAAGUCUUGUGUAACUGGUGUAAUUGGCGCUUUUAA
rnacentral:misc_RNA from 1 species